CCAUCCGGUGCUGACAACCCAGGCCUGUUUUAAACUUGGUCUCGCGUGCGCCCUCCCCUUUCGACCGCGCAGCCUUCCUCGGUGCAGUGGAAUUCAGAGGGCUGCUCAUGCUGAGGUCUGGUGCUUAAAAGAAUUGAAGAUUCUCAAGACAAGAUAUCUAAAACAGAUUUGGCUUCACCCCUUUAUGGGUGGAAGCAGGGCUGAACAUCUAGAAAUAUAUUUGAAUAUUUCAUGCCUCUUCCCUGUAGUUGGGUUGGCUCUCUUCAGUUCAGUCAGCAGCCAUAGUCUGAGAUUUUGGCACAGAACUAUUGGUGUUUUUACAACUGGGUUUUAUAUUGCUUUCACACUUUUCUAUCUUAGAUCAUUUUAGUGAUAAGAUUUGACUCCCUGAAGCACAUCUUGAUUCCCAGAGGUAAGAAGUUGAUUGCAAUGGAGCCUAAGAGAUUUUCUUUUUUAAAUGAGUUUGCAGCAUGACUGGUGGAGGUUGAAUCAUCAGAUCUUAACAGAAUCUAUUUUACUGGAUGAAAACUCAUAGUUCAAUAAAUAA